rnacentral:rRNA from 1 species
CAGUCGCCGCGGUAAUACGUAGGUGGCAAGCGUUGUCCGGAAUUAUUGGGCGUAAAGGGCUCGCAGGCGGUUUCUUAAGUCUGAUGUGAAAGCCCCCGGCUCAACCGGGGAGAGUCAUUGGAAACUGGGAAACUUGAGUGCAGAAGAGGAGAGUGGAAUUCCACGUGUAGCGGUGAAAUGCGUAGAGAUGUGGAGGAACACCAGUGGCGAAGGCGACUCUCUGGUCUGUAACUGACGCUGAGGAGCGAAAGCGUGGGGAGCGAACAGGAUUAGAUACCCGCGUAGUCCCUGUCUCUUAUAC